AACGAACGCUGGCGGCAUGCCUAACACAUGCAAGUCGAACGAGACCUUCGGGUCUAGUGGCGCACGGGUGCGUAACGCGUGGGAACCUGCCCUUAGGUUCGGAAUAACUCCCCGAAAGGGGUGCUAAUACCGGAUAAUGUCUUCGGACCAAAGAUUUAUCGCCUUUGGAUGGGCCCGCGUUGGAUUAGCUAGUUGGUAGGGUAAAAGCCUACCAAGGCGACGAUCCAUAGCUGGUCUGAGAGGAUGAUCAGCCACACUGGGACUGAGACACGGCCCAGACUCCUACGGGAGGCAGCAGUGGGGAAUAUUGGGCAAUGGGCGAAAGCCUGUUCCAGCAAUGCCGCGUGAGUGAUGAAGGCCUUAGGGUUGUAAAGCUCUUUUACCCGGGACGAUAAUGACAGUACCGGGAGAAUAAGCGCCGGCUAACUCCGUG
rnacentral:rRNA from 1 species